rnacentral:lncRNA from 1 species
CGGAACUCCUGGGAUUAAUCCAAAAUCAAGCAGAACUUCUGGUGGAGAGAUCCAAGCUCCCAAAUACCAUGGAAGAGUCAAAGAACUAAGGCAGGCCACAGUUAGCCCAGAGGAGGAAUUGAGAAGAAAUUGUAUGUCUCCUGAAUACAAGCCAGACACUCUUUGCCCUAAAUACCCACUUCUGGAGAAGGAAAAUUAACUGCUUUGAAAUAGAGAACAUUUGGAAGAGAAUCCAUUUUCAUCUGACAGGAAUGGUUUGAUGAGUCUUCUCUCAAAGCCAGGCAAUGGAUAACCUGAAUUUUUGAGUCUUUUCAACCCUGGAAAUCUAUGGUGCCAUAAAAUGGUUGUUUUAAUGAUAAAGAAAACAAAUCAGAAGGCUGGCUAUAUUUUGAAGAGUCCCUACUGCUCAGUAUCACAAAGGUUAGAACGUCCUGCUCCUCGCCUUUGGAUCAGUUACCAGGUUGAUAGAUUGACUAAGGGAAGACGUCCAAUUUAAAUGGAGGCGACAGACGACUCCUAUCCUUCCUUCUUUCUCAGCCACUACAGCCCAUGGGCAGCUGAGGCCUUUUGGAAUAUCCCAGAAGGCUUUACCAAGAAUGUGGGACUGUGCUGUGGCUUUAAGGAUUUGGCCAGAAGGAGGUCAGAGGAGGACAGAGCAAACUAGAGCAAUUGUGAUUCUGGAUGCAGUUGGGACUUUCCCAGUACUCUGGAGGGUAGACAGCUGAAGCUUCCAGCAAGGUCACGGAGGUCCGUUUGCUCACCAGGUUGAUCCAAGCAGGAUUUACUUUUUUUCUUCAUCUGCUGUUUGCGUGAAGAAAUUACACUUUGAUGAUUUUCCUCAACUACAGUAAUUAAAUAUUUCCAUUGAGCGAGUGAUCUAUUUUACCUGAAAUUGUGAAUGUGCUUUAUUUUCCUCUAAAACAUUCUUUACAUCAGCAAUUUUAAUUAUUUUUUCUAAACAUUUUCUUUAAUAUGUCUUUCUUUUUCUACUCUCAUUUUUCAAAUUUUCCCUUUUCUUGUUUUAACUUUUUUUUCUUUUGCCAUUUUCUAAGCGGUUAAAGGUAAAGAAAAAAAAGAAGGAAAUAAAAAUAAGUAGGGAAAGCUCACAGGAGUAAAUGAUUCCUGGAC